UACGUAGGUGGCGAGCGUUGUCCGGAUUUACUGGGCGUAAAGGGCGUGCAGGCGGUUCGUUAAGUUCGAGGUGAAAGCUCCCGGCUCAACUGGGAGAGGUCCCCGGAUACUGGCGGACUUGAGGGCGGCAGAGGAGAGUGGAAUUCCCGGUGUAGAGGUGAUAUGCGUAGAUAUCGGGAGGAACACCAGUGGCGAGGGCGGCUUUCUGGGCCGUAACUGACGCUGAGACGCGAAAGCGUGGGGAGCGAACAGG
rnacentral:rRNA from 1 species